UACGUAGGGGGCGAGCGUUGUCCGGAUUUAUUGGGCGUAAAGAGCUCGUAGGCGGCUUGGCAAGUCGGGUGUGAAACCUCCAGGCUCAACCUGGAGACGCCACUCGAUACUGCCAUGGCUAGAGUCCGGUAGGGGACCACGGAAUUCCUGGUGUAGCGGUGAAAUGCGCAGAUAUCAGGAGGAACACCGGUGGCGAAGGCGGGUCUCUGGGCAGUAACUGACGCUGAGGAGCGAAAGCGUGGGGAGCGAACAGG
rnacentral:rRNA from 1 species